UUUUUUUUUUUUAAAGUUGCGUGUAACCUUGAUUGAGUUGAGCGCAUAUAUUUAUUUAAAUUGUGCAACUUUACGCGUAAAAAGAUUAUCCUUUUUGUUAUUCAAUUUAAUAUUUUUUUCCUAGCACGUAAUGAAAUUAAUUUCCAUCUAUAUAUACACCCUCUAUAUAUCUCCAUAGUUGAAUUCAGAAAAUAUAUAUAUUGAUAUAACUAAAAGUUAAUUCUCAUCGUGUUCAAUAGAUGGCUAAGUCCAUGGCAAACUUGUUUUCAUGUGUUCUUCUGAUUUCAGGUUUAUAUAUCAUUUCUUCAUUCUUUUCUAUUUUCAUUUAUUAAUAUUGCUUUUAUUUUAAUGAGUUAGCUUUUAACUCCCUAUUUAUGAAAAUUGUUAGACCCUAAGGAGCUCCACUAACAAAUGCGUCUCGUUAUAGUGGUUAAUGUUAGGGCUGGAAGUGAGUCAAGCCAGCUCAUGAGUCAGCUCGAGCUCGACUCGUUAACAGCUUGAUAAGCUAAGCUCGUGAGCUGGUGAGCCAAGCUUAAGCCUAAAAUUGAGCUCAUAAAUUAAAUGAGCCGAACUUGAGCUUGGAUAAGCUUAACUCAUUAGCUCGUGAGUUGGCUCGAUUAUAUAUAUAAUAUUAAAAGUAUAGAUUAAAUGCAUAUAGAAUAUGCGUAUUAAUAAUUUAAUAUAUAUAUACAUAUAAAAUAAUAAUAUAUAAUUUUAUAUAUAUAUUAAUGUUCUUAAUUAUUUAAAAUUUUAUAGUCAUUUUUUAUAUAUAAUUUUGAUGUAGGACAUAAAUAAAAAAUUUAUAAUUGAUAGAUAGANNNNNNNNNNNNNNNNNNNNNNNNNNNNNNNNNNNNNNUUAUCUAUUUUCUCUUAUUUGAGCCAGCUCGUAAGCUCGAGCCAGCUCGUGAGCUUUUGGUUAGCCGAGCUUGAGCUUAAGAAAUAAGCUCGAUUGUUAAUGAGCCGAGCCGUGAGCCAAGCUCAAUUUUCGUGAGCCGAGCUUGAGCUUGGUCUAGCUCGGCUCACCUCGGCUCACUUCCAGCCCUAGUGGUUAUACAUCUUUGACCAUAUUUAAAAUGGUGAAAACUCAGGCGCAGUCAAUUUCACGGAAGUUGAUAGUUGAGAGCGAUUAAAUAAUUUGACUGAUUUGAUUAAAUUUUCAUUUAAUUAACGGUUCUGAAUUAUUAAUUUCUUGUGAAAUUAACUGCACCUUAGUUUCUACCACUUAAAAUAUGUUAUUAAAAUUAAACUAAUAUUUUUAUUAUUUGAAAAUGUUUUUAAAUUUGAAAAAAAAAUAGCGAAUAAUGUUGUCAAAUAGAUUGUGAUAUUAAUUUUAGAUAACGUAAAAAGUGUUACUAAAAUUGAAUGAUUUAAGUACAUGAAUGAAAUAAAGUGUGUUGUUUUGUUUACAGUUUUUGUGUUUGCGGUGACAAUUGAAGUGGGUGAAGGUCGAGAAUGUCACGACAAUUUCUCUAAUUAUUUGUGCGAGAGAGUUGACUUUUGUCAAUCGAUAUGUGAAAAUCUUCACGGAGGGAUUGGAACAGUUGGAUAUUGCGCUUAUCCCCAUUGUUAUUGCUCCUACCAAUGUUGAUUAGGGUUUGCUUAAACCACCUAUUAAUUAUNNNNNNNNNNNNNNNNNNNNNNNNNNNCAUUUAAGUCAUUUUCAUUUUUCGUAUGCAUUUGUACUCAAACUUUAUCCAAAUAAAGCA
rnacentral:lncRNA from 1 species